GGCAUUAAGGUAUGCCUGCCCAGUGACCAUGUGUUCAACGGCCGCAGUAUUCUGACCGCGCGAAGGUAGCGUAAUCACUUGUUUUUUAAAUAAAGACCUGUAUGAACGGCCCCACGAGGACCUAACUGUCUCCUUUGUCCAAUCAGUGAAACUGAUCUCCCCGUGCAGAAGCGGGGAUUAUACCAUAAGACGAGAAGACCCUAUGGAGCUUUAAACUUUUAUUAAUUAUUUCCUCCACCCCCUCCAAGGAAUUAACAACUAACUUAAUCUUCUUAAUAAAAGUUUUGGGUUGGGGCGACCAUGGAGAAAAAAAAAUCCUCCCUGAUGAUAACCUAACUAAGAACCACAGCUCUAAGUAUUAAGACACUUAACUAUUAUUGACCCAUUUUAUGAUCAACGAACCAAGUUACCCUAGGGAUAACAGCGCAAUCCAUUUCAAGAGUCCCUAUCGACAAAUGGGUUUACGACCUCGAUGUUGGAUCAGGGCAUCCAAGUGGUGCAACCGCUACUAAAGGUUCGUUUGUUCAACGAUUAAAGCCCUACGUGAUCUGAGUUC
rnacentral:rRNA from 1 species